rnacentral:rRNA from 1 species
GUGAAGCCGCGAAUAGCUCAUUACAACAGCCACCGUUUACUAGAAAAUCAGUAUCCUACUCGGAUAACUGUGGCAAUUCUAGAGCUAAUACGUGCGAAAAAGCUCGUUUCGCAAGAUUCGAGCGCAUUUAUUAGAAUAAAAACCAAUCGGGCCCAUAAAGCCCGUAAUUUGGUGAAUCUGAAUAACUUUGCCGAUCGCACGGUCCUAGUACCGGCGACGUAUCUUUCAAGUGUCUGCCUUAUCAACUUUCGAUGGUAGGUUAUACGCCUACCAUGGUAGUAACGGGUAACGGAGAAUAAGGGUUCGACUCCGGAGAGGGAGCCUGAGAAACGGCUACCACAUCCAAGGAAGGCAGCAGGCGCGCAAAUUACCCACUUCCAGAACGGAGAGGUAGUGACGAAAAAUAACGAGACAGUCCUCUUCGAGGUCUGUCAUCGGAAUGGGUACAAUUUAAAUCCUUUAACGAGGAUCUAUUGGAGGGCAAGUCUGGUGCCAGCAGCCGCGGUAAUUCCAGCUCCAAUAGCGUAUAUUAAAGUUGUUGCGGUUAAAACGCUCGUAGUUGGAUCUGCGGCCUCGGAGAACGGUCCCCCGAAAGGGCGGUCACUGUUACUCCAAGCCUAAAUAUCUAGUCUACUCUACGGUGCUCUUAACCGAGUGCCUAGAGUGACUGGAACGUUUACUUUGAAAAAAUUAGAGUGCUUAAAGCAGGCGAAAUAGCCUGAAUAAGGUGCAUGGAAUAAUGGAAUAGGACCUCGGUUCUAUUUUGUUGGUUUUCGGAGCCCGAGGUAAUGAUUAAGAGGAACAGACGGGGGCAUUCGUAUUCCGGCGCUAGAGGUGAAAUUCUUGGACCGCCGGAAGACGGACGACUGCGAAAGCAUUUGCCAAGAAUGUUUUCAUUAAUCAAGAACGAAAGUUAGAGGUUCGAAGGCGAUCAGAUACCGCCCUAGUUCUAACCGUAAACGAUGACAACCAGCGAUUAGUCGGUGUUAAUAUACGACCCGACUAGCAGCUUCCGGGAAACCAAAGUUUUUCGUUUCCGGGGGAAGUAUGGUUGCAAAGCUGAAACUUAAAGGAAUUGACGGAAGGGCACCACCAGGAGUGGAGCCUGCGGCUUAAUUUGACUCAACACGGGAAAACUCACCCGGCCCGGACACCGUAAGGAUUGACAGACUGAGAGCUCUUUCUUAAUUCGGUGGGUGGUGGUGCAUGGCCGUUCUUAGUUGGUGGAGCGAUUUGUCUGGUUAAUUCCGAUAACGAACGAGACUCUGGCCUAUUAAAUAGUCGGUAUAUCCAGAAAAGUUUACCGUACUUCUUAGAGGGACAAACGGCGUCUAGCCGCGUGAAAUAGAGCAAUAACAGGUCUGUGAUGCCCUUAGAUGUCCGGGGCUGCACGCGCGCUACACUGAAAGAAUCAGUAUGCGCUUUAACCUAGUCCGGAAGGAUUGGGUAACCCGAGCAAAUUCUUUCGUGCUUGGGAUAGGGAAUUGCAAUUAUUUCCCUUAAACGAGGAAUUCCCAGUAAAUGCGGGUCAUAAGCUCGCGUUGAUUACGUCCCUGCCCUUUGUACACACCGCCCGUCGCUACUACCGAUUGGAUGACUUAGUGAGGUCUUAGGACCGACGUAAAGGAGCUUUCGCGAGUUCUUUUUCGUUGGAAAUUUGAUCGAACUACGUUA